GGWUUGCUAAGCACCUUUUCCUUUAGCAGUUGUGGCAGCUGCAACCUGAAAUAUUGCCACAGACAAAGCCAGCAGAAGUAAAAUCCCAACUUCUUGUGAGGUUUCCCAUCUCCUAUUUCCUCCAGACUGAAAUGAAAAUGUUCUACUAGGCAGGCACAGCAAGGUUAUCAGUUGAGGUCACUACCCUGACAUACAACAUGCUGCACAGAAGAGAAUUGCUAGAAAUCAUAUCCAAGCUACACAAAGGUGAAUUUAAUCUCCAGUUCUGCAGGUG